GUAGGUGGCAAGCGUUGUCCGGAAUUAUUGGGCGUAAAGCGCGCGCAGGCGGUUCUUUAAGUCUGAUGUGAAAGCCCACGGCUCAACCGUGGAGGGUCCUUGGAAACUGGAGAACUUGAGUACAGAAGAGGAAAGCGGAAUUCCACGUGUAGCGGUGAAAUGCGUAGAGAUGUGGAGGAACACCAGUGGCGAAGGCGGCUUUCUGGUCUGUAACUGACGCUGAGGCGCGAAAGCGUGGGGAGCAAACAGGGAUUAGAUACCCUGGUAGUCCACGCCGUAAACGAUGAGUGCUAAGUGUUAGGGGGUUUCCGCCCCCUUAGUGCUGCAGCUAACGCAUUAAGCACUCCGCCUGGGGAUACGGCCGCAAGGCUG
rnacentral:rRNA from 1 species